rnacentral:sRNA from 1 species
CCGGGGCCUCAGGGCCUUCUUCUGCCUUUACUCCUCUGAAAGGUAGGAGAAGGGUGGGGUGCGGAGAUACCCAGAGGCCAUCCAGCUCGCAGGCGACUGCCUGGCCCUGGUUCUCACCGUCCCAGCCUCCUAGUGGCCUCCUCGGCACCCACCAGCCUGCAGCCACCUGUGCUUGGGGUUUUUGGCACCUCCCCUUCCUGUGGGCUCAGCUCAGAUGGGCUCUGGCCGGAGCCGGCCCAGGAGGAAGGCCAUGCGUCCCUGGGUCUCUUCUCGCCCAGGUGAGGCCUGUGUGCCCACCUUCCGCGAUGCAGCCUCCGCCCUAGGAAGCCAGGUAGGUGUGCCCAGGGCACUCAGAGAGCCCGGAGCAGCCUGGAGAAUGAGCCACCAGAGGCCAACUUGGUCAAGAGCUGGGCUGAGGCUCAGGUGCAGGAGAAGAAACCCACAGGGUGGCCAGAAAGCUGGGGACCAGCUCCAUCCCCUUUGUGCUCAGAGUUCUCCUGCCCCCAGGCUGAGACGGGAGCGAGGGCCGCACCUUCCCUGCAAUAGGACAGGCUAUGUCCUCCCUGAGAUUCCACCAGCUUUGAACCUCCAAGGCCGGGCUUGGUGGCCCACACCUGUAAUCCCAGCACUUUGGGA